rnacentral:rRNA from 1 species
UGGGGAAUAUUGGACAAUGGGCACAAGCCUGAUCCAGCGACGCCGCGUGUGAAGAAGGCCUGCGGGUUGUAAAGCACUUUCGAUGGGAACGAAAUGUGCCGGGUUAAUACCCCGGUAAGCUGACGUUACUCAAUGAAGAAGCACCGGCUAACUCUGUGCCAGCAGCCGCGGUAAUACAGAGGGUGCGAGCGUUAAUCGGAAUUACUGGGCGUAAAGCGCACGUAGGUGGCGACGUAAGUCGGGUGUGAAAGCCCCGGGCUCAACCUGGGAAUUGCAUUCGAGACUGCAUUGCUGGAGUACGGAAGAGGAGGGCGGAAUUCCCGGUGUAGCGGUGAAAUGCGUAGAUAUCGGGAGGAACAUCAGUGGCGAAGGCGGCCCUCUGGUCCAGUACUGACACUCAAGUGCGAAAGCGUGGGGAGCAAACAGGAUUAGAUACCCCCGUAGUCCCUGAGCGGGCUGGCAAGGCGCAU